AUUGAACGCUGGCGGCAGGCCUAACACAUGCAAGUAGAACGAGUGGCGGACGGGUGAGUAAUGUCUGGGAAACUGCCUGAUGGAGGGGGAUAACUACUGGAAACGGUAGCUAAUACCGCAUACCAUCCGACGUGCCCAGAUGGGAUUAGCUAGUUGGUGGGGUAACGGCUCACCACGGCGACGAUCCCUAGCUGGUCGGAGAGGAUGACCAGCCACACGUGGUAUGAGCCACGGGCCAGACUCCUACGUGAGCCAGCAGUGGGGAAUCUUGCACAAUGGUCGCAAGCCUGAUGCAGCCAUGCCGCGUGUCUGAAGACCGCCUUCGGGCUGUAAAGUACUUUCGGCGGGGAGGCGUUACUCGCAGAAGAGGCACCGGCUAACCCCGUGCCAGCCGCCGCGGUAAUUC
rnacentral:rRNA from 1 species